rnacentral:rRNA from 1 species
GACGAACGCUGGCGGCGUGCUUAACACAUGCAAGUCGAACGGAAAGGCCCUGCUCUUGUGGGGUGCUCGAGUGGCGAACGGGUGAGUAACACGUGAGUAACCUGCCCUUGACUUUGGGAUAACUUCAGGAAACUGGGGCUAAUACCGGAUAUGAGCUCCUGCUGCAUGGUGGGGGUUGGAAAGUUGCGGCGGUUGGGGAUGGACUGGCGGCUUAUCAGCUUGUUGGUGGGGUAGUGGGGUACCAAGGCAUUGACGGGUAGCCGGACUGAGAGGGUGACCGGCCACAUUGGGACUGAGAUACGGCCAAGAGUCAUACGGGGGGAAGCAGUGGGGAAUAGUGCGCAAUGGGCGGAAGCCGGAUGCAGCAACGCCGCGUGCGGGAUGACGGCCUUCGGGUUGUAAACCGCGUUCGCCUGUGACGAAGCGUGAGUGACGGUAAUGGGUAAAGAAGCACCGGCUAACUACGUG